AUCUCGUAAAAGACAUCUUCCACUUGCGCACGCGCACGGUAACGGCCAAUCAGACUUAGACACACUUUACCUCGUCGCAACAUUCCGCAGUAUUAGCUUCCCCCCGCAUCGUAAUGCUCUCUGUCCCUAUAUUUCUAUGUCCAUGGUGAGAAUUAUAACCUAACGUUGUUCCGUAGCCGUCAUUGACGUCGUUGUUGACUCUGGUUGAAUCUGCUGUGAAGUCCGUUGAUCCGUUUGGGGCAACAAACGUAUGUGGACGCGUUUAUUGUUUAUCCGUUACAAGUACUAAAAAUUAACUAAGUGAACUGUGCUAAUCAAGUUUAAGAGCAACUUAAUUAUAUUAACCUCAUCAAAGGUGUAGUUAAUGCUAAAGAUAAUGGAAAAAUUAAUAGUAUCGCAGAGAUUAAGAAACACAUUACAAGAUGGUUUCAACAUGCUGGUGAUAAGAUGCGAUAUUGCUUAAAAAAACAAGCCAACAAUCUAUAACAUAUGAUUAAUAUUUUUAUAUACAGAUUUUUAUCUUUUUUUGUUUAUUGUACAGUGUUACUGUUAUGUGAUAAGAUGCGGUAUUACUAAAAAAAAAGCACAAUAACUAAUGACACAACUAAUAUUUUUAUAUAAUAUUUUUAUAUAUGUAUUUUUUUGUUUAUUGUGCAAUGUUACUGUGAUGUAUGUACUGUUAUGUAUUCUACGAUAGUACAAUAAGUAUUUUCAAAAAUGACAAUAAUUCUGACUGAGUAAUAUUUUAAGAUAUAGUCAUUUUUAUUUUUAGUUCAUUGUGCAAUAUUAAUUUUAUACGCUAUAUUUAUAUGUAAAAGUUCAAUUAUGUAUUUAUAAAAUACCGAGUCAAUAAUUCUAAGUAACAUUUUGAUAUAUAAAUAUAUUUUUAGUUUAUCCAGUUUAUUGAUUUAAAAUAUGUAUAAUGAAUUCUAUUAAAAUUAUAUUUACGACAAAA